rnacentral:rRNA from 1 species
CCUACGGGAGACAGCAGUGAGGAAUAUUGGUCAAUGGCCGGAAGGCUGAACCAGCCAUGCCGCGUGAAGGUCAGUGCCCUAUGGGCGUUAAACUUCUUUUGUGCGGGAGCAAUAAUGGUCACGUGUGGCCAGACGAGAGUACCGUACGAAUAAGCAUCGGCUAACUCCGUGCCAGCAGCCGCGGUAAUACGGGGGAUGCAAGCGUUAUCCGGAUUUAUUGGGUUUAAAGGGUGCGUAGGCUGUGAGGUAAGUCAGCGGUGAAAUGCCCCCGCUCAACGGGGUGAAGUGCCAUUGAUACUGGCUGGCUGGAAUACGGAUGCGGUGGGAGGAAUGUGUGGUGUAGCGGUGAAAUGCAUAGAUAUCACACAGAACACCGAUUGCGAAGGCAUCUCACGAAUCCGCGAUUGACACUGAUGCACGAAAGCGUGGGUAUCAAACAGGAUUAGAUACCCGAGUAGUC